AAUUUUUUUAGCAUGUGGUAGAUCGAACUCACGGUAUAAUUGUGAGAUAUAUGUGUCAAAGUGAGUAUAGAGUUGACCUCGAUCCUCCCCUAAAAUAAACAUCGAGAUAUAGAACGCCUUUUGGCGCGAAGGUUCGAAACUCUUUCUUCUCUGGGCGUUGAAUAAUCAGUACUCUCUUCUUCGUUAAUGCUAUCGACGUUGGUAAACUAUAAAAUAAAUGCGAUUUGAACAAUUUCCAACGCAAUGGGAUCCCUUCGAUGGCCGGGAGCUCGAUUGUUUCACACCUCGGCGAUUUGUUCGACUCUUCAUGUCAUCCACUCGAGCGAAUGCAAGCUUUCAAUCAGGAGGUUCUACGAUAGAUUAAAAGCAGCUGGAAAAUUCUACUUCACCAUCCAUGACACCAAAUGGGAAUGAGUUGGAAAAGGAGACACUGAUUGAAUGAUUAAUGCUAAAUUCGGUAACUUACAGUGGAAUGACAUACAUUUCUGAGGCUAAUAAGGACGAAUUUGAAUUUGAAUGGUUACCGACAACUCAUAAAAGAUUAGGCUUUUUUUUGUCAUAGGAUUCCCUUGCUGAAAACGACCCUGCUGUGAUGGUGAACUGGAAUGAAACUUCAUCUCAAAAGUGCAUUUUGAGCUUCCCUCCGGCGACCUGCACUGAUGGUUACAUAUUGACCCAAAACUGAUUUUUGCGUAGCGAUGAGGGCUGAGACCAACCGACAGUGACAAAAAGAAAGGGAAAAAUGGUACCUCCACUGCAUAAACAACAGAACAACAAGAUGGGAUAUACUUCGGAAAGACAAUAUAAUUGCUGGAAAAAGUUGAUGACGUGAUUAAAGAACAAGGAAAAACUAAUUUUGGAAGUGUCUGGAGUUCGUUUUAAAGUUAAAUAUCAGGAAAUAUGUUUAUACCAAAAUUUUAAAGGUUAUUUUUCCUUAUCUUCUUUUAAUUUGCUCUUGUAGACAACGUAUUUGUAUAAAUAAC